rnacentral:rRNA from 1 species
GAUGAACGCUGGCGGCGUGCAUAACACAUUCAAGUCGAACGGUGAUGAGGGCUUCGGUCCUCUGAUCAGUGGCGGACGGGUGAGUAACGCGUGAGCAACCUGCCCUAUAUUGCGGGAUAACAACCGGAAACAGUUGCUAAUACCGCAUGACGUAUUCGGACCGCAUGUUCUGAAUACCAAAGAAUUUUGAUAUAGGAUGGGCUCGCGUCCGAUUAGGCAGUUGGUGGGGUAACGGCCCACCAAACCGACGAUCGGUAGCCGAACUGAGAGGUUGAACGGCCACAUUGGAACUGAGAUACGGUCCAG